rnacentral:rRNA from 1 species
AGUGAACGCUGGCGGUAGGCCUAACACAUGCAAGUCGAACGGCAGCACAGUAAGAGCUUGCUCUUACGGGUGGCGAGUGGCGGACGGGUGAGGAAUACAUCGGAAUCUACUUUUUCUUGGGGGAUAACGUAGGGAAACUUACGCUAAUACCGCAUACGACCUACGGGUGAAAUCAGGGGAUCUUCGGACCUUGCGCGAUUGAAUGAGCCGAUGUCGGAUUAGCUAGUUGGCGGGGUAAAGGCCCACCAAGGCGACGAUCCGUAGCUGGUCUGAGAGGAUGAUCAGCCACACUGGAACUGAGACACGGUCCAGACUCCUACGGGAGGCAGCAGUGGGGAAUAUUGGACAAUGGGCGAAAGCCUGAUCCAGCCAUACCGCGUGGGUGAAGAAGGCCUUCGGGUUGUAAAGCCCUUUUGUUGGGAAAGAAAAGCAGCAGGUUAAUACCCCGCUGUUCUGACGGUACCAAAAGAAUAAGCACCGGCUAACUUCGUG